rnacentral:rRNA from 1 species
GAUGAACGCUAGCGGGAGGCUUAACACAUGCAAGUCGAGGGGCAGCACUGAUAGCAAUAUUAGGUGGCGACCGGCGGACGGGUGAGUAACGCGUAUGCAACCUACCCUUUACAGGGGGAUAGCCCGGAGAAAUUCGGAUUAAUACCCCAUAGAUCAGUGAUUCUGCAUGGGAUUACUGGUAAAGCUUCGGCGGUAAAGGAUGGGCAUGCGUCCCAUUAGCUAGUUGGUAGGGUAACGGCCUACCAAGGCAACGAUGGGUACGGGGUCUUAAAGGAUGGACCCGCACACUGGCACUGAGACACGGGCCAGACUCUUACGGGAGGCAGCAGUGAGGAAUAUUGGUCAAUGGGGGGAACCCUGAACCAGCCAUCCCGCGUGCAGGAAGACAGUUCUAUGGAUUGUAAACUGCUUUUCUUGGGGAAGAAUAAUGACGACGUGUCGUCAGAUGACGGUACCCGAGGAAUAAGCAUCGGCUAACUCCGUG